ensembl:lncRNA
CCUGAACAAAAAAACAGUAAUAUUUGUUUGUCCACUUGAACGCGAGUGGUAAAUGUGCAAAAAAAAGGUAUACCUUUUUUUUGCACAUUUACCACUCGCGUUCAAGUAGAAAUUUAUGUGCUGUCUCCGCAAGCAAUGCGUACUAUACAUUUUUGUAUACAGUACACAUUGCUUGCAGAGACAGCAUUUAUCAGGAAAUAGCAGGACAAUAAUCCUUGUGGUGAAUUAACUUUCAGUAGAUCACCACCACCGGAUUACUUUGAAGGACUUGGCUGUAGUGUAUGCGAUCACUCUCCACGGAAGAUAUUCAGUUGCUUAGCUCUAACACGGGAAUAAGGCACAGAGUAAACAGCGACUAUAAAACGCUUUUUACUUUGUCAAGCUGCUAUACGUUAUUAAUUGACCCCGAAUUACUAAGGUGUGCUGCGCACUGAAUUAAAACGCAUGAAAACGAUCUUGAGUUGGUCACAGUCGAAAACGUUGAGCUGUAACGCGGAACAAGUCGUUACGCGUGCGUCUCCCUCGCGUUGCCCUGUUGCUCCGAGGCCAAAUAUUUACUCAGGAUCCACCUUAAACAACGAGCCCCCUGCUCGGCCCCUCCCUUUUUCGCGGCUAGCCACCCCCCAUCCUCAUCCCCAGCCCCAGCCCCGGAGACCGUGAGACCUCCCCCCACCCUGUCCCUCUCCCUCUCUCUCCUUUUUCCAGCCAGAGCCGUCGGCGGGUCGAGCUGCACGCCGUCACUCACUGGUCCUUCGUCCGCAGUCUGGUGCUGUGGUCAUCGGCGCACUUCUGCCAGGAAUGUUUUAGAGUCGGAUACGGAGAGGAGGAAGUGGGUUCGGCUCGGCUCGCCGAACCAGGCUUCGCGGGAUUCCUCCAGCACGCGGAAAACUCGUCAAACUGCUUCACAAUUGUUGCUCCAAAUGCCGACAUUCGCCUGAAUUAUAAUAAGAAAAAAUUCAAUUAAGAAGUGUAGGUCUAAAAGCAGCAACACGAGAAAAAGCAGCUGAACUGAUCUUUUUUUUCUCGUCCAGCUGCAUUUAAUGACGAUAUUUUCCGUCUCUGAGCAAUGCCACACUUUAGUUAAGCGGACGGGUUGUUUUUAAAGAAAAACCACCAAAGAACAUCGCAGACACGCUUAAUCUUUUUUUUCCGCAAAAAUGCUGCAAGAAAGCUGAAAGAUUUUCCACGGAUUUUCUCUCUCCGAAGAAAGUUCCUGUUGUACCGAGAUUUUAUUGCGGGCUGUUUUUUUUUUUUUUUCUCUUCGCUUUUCGCUGUUAUUUCUACAAAUUACUAAGAGUCUAAGACAGGAGAAGCUGCCUACACUACUCUCUGUGACUGAUCUAGACGGGAUUCCUGUAUUAACACAGAGAGAGAGCUGCGUGGAUUAAUAUAAUUUAAAAAAGAAAGGAAAAGACAAGCGCGCGCGAGCGACACACACGAUCCGUAGGAGAGGCGCAAGACACUGUCCGUGUUUGUCUCCUGCUGCUCCCGUGUGCCGCGCGCUCAUACCUUGAAAUCCGCAUCCAUCUUCAGCACAGUAAGGUUCGUACAAACCCUUCCCUUUUCCCUUAUGCUCCAUUUUCCACAGGUGUGUGUGUGUGUGUGUGUGUGCGCGCUGUAUUUAACCUGCUGCUGCUUGGACCAGACGCGCUGCUACAAGAAUGGGGGGAAAUUUUUAAUGAGUGGUUCAUUUGAACCAUGUUAAAUCCGCAGAUAUAUAAGUGCCUCGACAGUUUGCUCUUGCUUAUUGAAAAUGUUGAGCAUCACUGAAGAAGAGUACCUCAUCGUUUCCCCAAAUCAAAUGGGAGUGGUUGUAAGAAAAGAUGAAAAGCACAUGCAGGAGGUGU